GAGUUUGAUCAUGGCUCAGGACGAACGCUGGCGGCGUGCCUAAUACAUGCAAGUAGAACGCUGAAGAGAGGAGCUUGCUCUUCUUGGAUGAGUUGCGAACGGGUGAGUAACGCGUAGGUAACCUGCCUGGUAGCGGGGGAUAACUAUUGGAAACGAUAGCUAAUACCGCAUAAAAUUGAUUAUUGCAUGAUAAUUAAUUGAAAGAUGCAAUUGCAUCACUACCAGAUGGACCUGCGUUGUAUUAGCUAGUUGGUGAGGUAACGGCUCACCAAGGCGACGAUACAUAGCCGACCUGAGAGGGUGAUCGGCCACACUGGGACUGAGACACGGCCCAGACUCCUACGGGAGGCAGCAGUAGGGAAUCUUCGGCAAUGGGGGGAACCCUGACCGAGCAACGCCGCGUGAGUGAAGAAGGUUUUCGGAUCGUAAAGCUCUGUUGUAAGAGAAGAACGGGUGUGAGAGUGGAAAGUUCACACUGUGACGGUAUCUUACCAGAAAGGGACGGCUAACUACGUGCCAGCAGCCGCGGUAAUACGUAGGUCCCGAGCGUUGUCCGGAUUUAUUGGGCGUAAAGCGAGCGCAGGCGGUUAGAUAAGUCUGAAGUUAAAGGCCGUGGCUUAACCAUAGUAUGCUUUGGAAACUGUUUAACUUGAGUGCAGAAGGGGAGAGUGGAAUUCCAUGUGUAGCGGUGAAAUGCGUAGAUAUAUGGAGGAACACCGGUGGCGAAAGCGGCUCUCUGGUCUGUAACUGACGCUGAGGCUCGAAAGCGUGGGGAGCAAACAGGAUUAGAUACCCUGGUAGUCCACGCCGUAAACGAUGAGUGCUAGGUGUUAGGCCCUUUCCGGGGCUUAGUGCCGCAGCUAACGCAUUAAGCACUCCGCCUGGGGAGUACGACCGCAAGGUUGAAACUCAAAGGAAUUGACGGGGGCCCGCACAAGCGGUGGAGCAUGUGGUUUAAUUCGAAGCAACGCGAAGAACCUUACCAGGUCUUGACAUCCCUCUGACCGCUCUAGAGAUAGAGUUUUCCUUCGGGACAGAGGUGACAGGUGGUGCAUGGUUGUCGUCAGCUCGUGUCGUGAGAUGUUGGGUUAUGUCCCGCAACGAGCGCAACCCCUAUUGUUAGUUGCCAUCAUUGAGUUGGGCACUCUAGCGAGACUGCCGGUAAUAAACCGGAGGAAGGUGGGGAUGACGUCAAAUCAUCAUGCCCCUUAUGACCUGGGCUACACACGUGCUACAAUGGCUGGUACAACGAGUCGCAAGCCGGUGACGGCAAGCUAAUCUCUGAAAGCCAGUCUCAGUUCGGAUUGUAGGCUGCAACUCGCCUACAUGAAGUCGGAAUCGCUAGUAAUCGCGGAUCAGCACGCCGCGGUGAAUACGUUCCCGGGCCUGUACACACCGCCCGUCAAA
rnacentral:rRNA from 1 species